rnacentral:lncRNA from 1 species
CCAACACCCCUGUAUAUUGAUAUAAGUAAACAUGAUAUCACAGUUAUCAAAGUUUAAAAGGUCUUCAUACUUGGGUUAUUUAUAUCAAUGUGUAUACGUUUCUUCAAAAGCGGUUUCAA